rnacentral:tRNA from 1 species
GGGGUUGUAGCUCAGUGGCAGAGCGCUUGCCUAGCAUGCAUGAGACCCUGGGUUCGAUCCUUAGCACCA